CAACACCCUGCAUCCCACACUGCAUCCCACUGCUGGCUUGCUUCUGAAGCUAAGCAGGGUUGGUCCUGGUCAGUCUUUGGAUGGGAGACCAGAUUCUUCUGGAAGUGGUGUUGA
rnacentral:rRNA from 1 species